GCUAUAAUGCAAGUCGAGCGAAUGGAUUAAGAGCUUGCUCUUAUGAAGUUAGCGGCGGACGGGUGAGUAACACGUGGGUAACCUGCCCAUAAGACUGGGAUAACUCCGGGAAACCGGGGCUAAUACCGGAUAAUAUUUUGAACUGCAUGGUUCGAAAUUGAAAGGCGGCUUCGGCUGUCACUUAUGGAUGGACCCGCGUCGCAUUAGCUAGUUGGUGAGGUAACGGCUCACCAAGGCAACGAUGCGUAGCCGACCUGAGAGGGUGAUCGGCCACACUGGGACUGAGACACGGCCCAGACUCCUACGGGAGGCAGCAGUAGGGAAUCUUCCGCAAUGGACGAAAGUCUGACGGAGCAACGCCGCGUGAGUGAUGAAGGCUUUCGGGUCGUAAAACUCUGUUGUUAGGGAAGAACAAGUGCUAGUUGAAUAAGCUGGCACCUUGACGGUACCUAACCAGAAAGCCACGGCUAACUACGUGCCAGCAGCCGCGGUAAUACGUAGGUGGCAAGCGUUAUCCGGAAUUAUUGGGCGUAAAGCGCGCGCAGGUGGUUUCUUAAGUCUGAUGUGAAAGCCCACGGCUCAACCGUGGAGGGUCAUUGGAAACUGGGAGACUUGAGUGCAGAAGAGGAAAGUGGAAUUCCAUGUGUAGCGGUGAAAUGCGUAGAGAUAUGGAGGAA
rnacentral:rRNA from 1 species